AUUGAACGCUGGCGGCAUGCCUUACACAUGCAAGUCGAACGGCAGCUCGGGUGCUUGCACCUGGUGGCGAGUGGCGAACGGGUGAGUAAUACAUCGGAACGUACCUUAUCGUGGGGGAUAACGCAGCGAAAGCUGUGCUAAUACCGCAUACGCCCUGAGGGGGAAAGCGGGGGAUCGAAAGACCUCGCGCGAUUAGAGCGGCCGAUGCCUGAUUAGCUUGUUGGUGGGGUAAAAGCCCACCAAGGCGACGAUCAGUAGCUGGUCUGAGAGGACGAUCAGCCAAACUGGGACUGAGACACGGCCCAGACUCCUACGGGAGGCAGCAGUGGGGAAUUUUGGACAAUGGGGGCAACCCUGAUCCAGCAAUGCCGCGUGAGUGAAGAAGGCCUUCGGGUUGUAAAGCUCUUUUGUCAGGGAAGAAACACCGGCUCUAACACAGUCCGGGAAUGACGGUACCUGAAGAAUAAGCACCGGCUAACUACGUGCCAGCAGCCGCAGUAA
rnacentral:rRNA from 1 species